rnacentral:lncRNA from 1 species
AGAGUGGCCUGUGAACACCGGUCGGGCGAGCUGGCAGUUGGGAGUUUCCCUAGCGACUCAGUUCGGGUGGGCGUUGGGCGCCUGAGUCAGCCAAACAGCCUACUCGGGGUUCUUGGGUAGCCUUUGGGGUGAGGGGACUUGGGCGGCCUUGGUCUGUAAGCUCUGCGUUCCCGGGCGUGGAAGAGACUGGCCGCGCACAUGCGUUUCUGUGGUUUUCCUGGUUUGGGGAAAGCGGGUAAAUGGUGGCUGGUUGCGGCUAACUGGGCCGCGCUAAAAGGUAACCCAAGGCAGGUGGAUUACCUGGGGAAACAGCUGGAGCAGUGGUCCUGGGCCGCCAGUCCGCGGUCAUCCCGGGAGCUUAAGAUGCGGAGUGGUGAUAGGCUCCGGAUGUAUGAGCCCUGUGGCUCAAGGGCGCUGUUCUCUCUGCUCCGAAAUAGAAAUAAUACCUGUCUCACAGAGCUGUUGAAAAGCUCCACUGAAAUAAUGACCGCAAGUGUGAACUGUAAAGCAAUGAGAGACGUGGCCGAUAGAAGCCGAGUGGCAGUAACUCUAAGUUGGAGUUACACGGUGGAGAAGGAAGCACUGACUCAGACUCGGGUAACUUCCUCUUAUUCCCUCACACGUGUAUCUUGUUCCCUUCUUCGAAGUCUGUAAAUUUAAAAUCCUAAGCCCCCCAACAACUGAACAGACCCCCGUGAGGCCAAGGGGACACCAGCAAAAUCUUAACAACUGAGUUCCCAGUCAUAACGGGAUGGGAGGUCAGACGGACCUGGUUAUACCCUCUCCCUUUUGUGAUUUAGAGGAGAUAGCUGACUGGCCAUAAAGUUAAAAUAGAGGCCAGGCGCGGUGGCUUACGCCUGUAAUCCCAGCACUUUGGGACGCCGAAGCAGGUGGGUCACCUGAGGUCAGGAGUGGAUCACCUGAGGUAUGGCAAACAUGGUGAAACGCUGUCUCUACUAAAAAUACAAAAAUUAGCCGGGCGUGGUGGCACGCACCUGUAAUCCCAGCUACUCAGGAGGCCGAGGCAGGAGAAUGGUUUGAACCCGGCAGGCGGAGGUUGCAGUGAGCGGAGAUCGUGCCAUUGCACUCCAGCCUGGGCGACAAGAGUGAAACUCUGUUUCAAAAAAAAAAACGGAGAUGAUAGGACUGACGGAAUUGACUCCAUGGCAAUAAGAUACCAAAGUAUAAACAGGACCUAAGCCCAUGCCAAGCAAGGGUUAAAAGUCAUGCAUCCCUACGCUUGAAAAAUAAACUAUGUUCUCACUAUGCUUCAAGGUUUUUCUUUAGCAGCUAAACAAGCGCUGGCCUCACAGUAUUAAAACAAUUUGCAGUUCAUCGACCACCAGACACUAACAACCCUCUCCCACCAGCCGUAACUACAGCUUUUAUUGAUUUCAGUUACUUUCUCCUGAUAAGAAGGUCACUGACCAUGGACUUGUUCUGGCCAAUUUGUAGUGAUUGCAUGCUUACGUAACUUCCUGAAAAGAUAUUUUGAUGUAUAGGACCAAACUGUAAAUACAUUUAAAUGUUAAGUCUCCACCCCAAAGUGAACAUGGAUUGUCUGUUAAACAUGCAUAUUUGUUUAAUAUGCAUGUGUCAAGACCACUUUCAUGAAUAUUCAUAGCCGCUCCUCUAACUUGUUGAAUAUGUAUGUUUAGCCAACCAGUUAAGCAUAAAGUUCCUACUCCAACUCCUCCUCUGAAGUGUCUGUAUGUGGUCUUGGCUGGAGGCAUGCUUCCCAGCCUGCAGAAUGGCCACCUUGCAGGCUGUAACUCCUUAUAAGAAACAAAGUCUCUCCUUUUCUAAAUCUAUAGAUCUUAUGAUUUUUUAGUUAACAUGCACAAUAAGAAUACAGGAAGCUAAGGAAAAGAUAACUGCAGAAUCUUACUCCUAAGUGGGAAUUGUGAACAAUAAUGACUACCUGAAAUGUUACAGGCUUUUUAAGAAUCAGCAAGAUCAUUCAGGUUUGGUUGUAUACAUUAAAUUUACAAAUUGGCAAAAUAAAAAUGAUUUAAUUCAGAAUUAUACUUUGUUUAUCUGAUACUAAUUGUUGUAAUAGGAUUAUCAUAUUACAGAUGACUAUUAACCAUCUGGAACACAACUAAGACCUCAGAGGCAAGUACAUUUUUUUCUUUUCUUAAGAGACAGGGUCUCAUUCUGUCAUCCAGACUGGAGUGUAGUGGUUUGAUCAUAGCUGACUGUAUCCUCAAACUCCUGGGCUCAAAUGAUCCUCCUGCCUCCAUUUCCCAAGUAGCUGGGACUAGAGGCAUGUGCCACCAAGCUCAGCUAAUUUUUUUAUUUUUGUAAGACAGGGUUUUGCUAUGUUGCCUAGGCUGGUCUUGAAUUCCUGGGCUCAAGUGGUCCUGCCUCGGCCUCCCAAAGUGCUGGGAUUACAGGCAUGAGCCACUGUGCCUGACCUGGCACUUUUCUUAUAUUGCUUCUAGUCCUUACAACAAUUUUUUACUUAGUUAUAUAUUAAUGAGUAUACAGCCUCAUUGGCUGUAAGUCACAUGGCUAGAGAAAGCUAAGUUUGGAAUUUGAGCCUAGCUGUCAUCCCAAAGCCUGUAUUUUUCUUAAGUCUUAACUCUUGAAUCUUUACCAUGGGCCUAUUCAAUGUUUCAGAAAUUAUUUCCUUACAAUUGGAUAAGGGCGAGGACCAUAGUGUCAUUAAUAACAAAACAUAGGCCCGGUGCGGUGGCUCACGCCUGUAAUCCCACUACUUUGGGAGGCCGAGCCAGCUGGAUCACCUGAGGUCGGGAGUUUGAGACCAGCCUGGCCAAUAUGGUGAAACCCCAUCUCUACUAAAAAUACAAAAAUCAGCCAGGCAUGGUGGCAGGCACCUGUAAUCCCAGCUACUCGGGAGGCUGAGUCAGGAGAAUCGCUUGAACCCGGGAGGCGGAGGUUUCAGCGAGCCAAGAUCCUGCCAUUGCACUCCAGCCUGGGCAACAAGAGCAAAACUCCAUCUCAAAAAAAAAAAAAAAAAAAAAGAGUUUUUUGUUUUUUGUUUUUUUGUUUGUUUGUUUGUUUGUUUUUAAGUGGGUAAUAACAUCCAGAGGGCAGACAUCCAGGAACAUGUAACCUUUUCACUUAUAUUUACUGAGCACCUGUUUUUCCUCAUGCUAGCUGGUGAAGUAAGAUGGACGAAGGACUGCCUCUCUGUUAGGAAAUAACUUGCAUGGGAGAAUCUAGGAUGGAUGGUUUAGAUCAGUUCUAGGCAUUCACAUCUUCAUUCCUCUUUUUUUUCCUUAGUGUGGCCUUACUUGAGUUCAGUUUACCAUUGGAAUGGUAAGAUCUGGGAGGAAAGGACUAAGGAUGCAGUUUAAUCUGCUUUUCUUCUAGUUCUUAUCCUGACUAUUGUCUAGGCAGAAGGAAGCUUUUUGCUCCAUGCUUACUGGUCGGCCACAUUAGGAUGUUGGAUUGCAGGUUUGCCUUUUUCAGCAUUUGGGCCCCAGCCAUCUCUCCCUUUCUCUCAUUUGUAGUUUAAGUGGAUUGAAAUAAUUAUAUUUAUUUAAAG